GACGAACGCUUUCGGCGUGCUUAACACAUGCAAGUCGAACGGAAAGGCCCUGCUUUUGUGGGGUGCUCGAGUGGCGAACGGGUGAGUAACACGUGAGUAACCUGCCCUUGACUUUGGGAUAACUUCAGGAAACUGGGGCUAAUACCGGAUAGGAGCUCCUGCUGCAUGGUGGGGGUUGGAAAGUUUCGGCGGUUGGGGAUGGACUCGCGGCUUAUCAGCUUGUUGGUGGGGUAGUGGCUUACCAAGGCUUUGACGGGUAGCCGGCCUGAGAGGGUGACCGGCCACAUUGGGACUGAGAUACGGCCCAGACUCCUACGGGAGGCAGCAGUGGGGAAUAUUGCACAAUGGGCGGAAGCCUGAUGCAGCAACGCCGCGUGCGGGAUGACGGCCUUCGGGUUGUAAACCGCUUUCGCCUGUGACGAAGCGUGAGUGACGGUAAUGGGUAAAGAAGCACCGGCUAACUACGUGCCAGCAGCCGCGGUGAUACGUAGGGUGCGAGCGUUGUCCGGAUUUAUUGGGCGUAAAGGGCUCGUAGGUGGUUGAUCGCGUCGGAAGUGUAAUUUUGGGGCUUAACCCUGAGCGUGCUUUCGAUACGGGUUGACUUGAGGAAGGUAGGGGAGAAUGGAAUUCCUGGUGGAGCGGUGGAAUGCGCAGAUAUCAGGAGGAACACCAGUGGCGAAGGCGGUUCUCUGGGCCUUUCCUGACGCUGAGGAGCGAAAGCGUGGGGAGCGAACAGGCUUAGAUACCCUGGUAGUCCACGCUGUAAACGGUGGGUACUAGGUGUGGGGUCCAUUCCACGGGUUCCGUGCCGUAGCUAACGCUUUAAGUACCCCGCCUGGGGAGUACGGCCGCAAGGCUAAAACUCAAAGGAAUUGACGGGGCCCCGCACAAGCGGCGGAGCAUGCGGAUUAAUUCGAUGCAACGCGUAGAACCUUACCUGGGUUUGACAUGGAUCGGGAGUGCUCAGAGAUGGGUGUGCCUCUUUUGGGGUCGGUUCACAGGUGGUGCAUGGCUGUCGUCAGCUCGUGUCGUGAGAUGUUGGGUUAAGUCCCGCAACGAGCGCAACCCUUGUUCACUGUUGCCAGCACGUUAUGGUGGGGACUCAGUGGAGACCGCCGGGGUCAACUCGGAGGAAGGUGGGGAUGACGUCAAGUCAUCAUGCCCCUUAUGUCCAGGGCUUCACGCAUGCUACAAUGGCUGGUACAGAGAGUGGCGAGCCUGUGAGGGUGAGCGAAUCUCGGAAAGCCGGUCUCAGUUCGGAUUGGGGUCUGCAACUCGACCUCAUGAAGUCGGAGUCGCUAGUAAUCGCAGAUCAGCAACGCUGCGGUGAAUACGUUCCCGGGGCU
rnacentral:rRNA from 1 species